AGUGGAUGGGGAGCAACCUAUGUUGUGCGUGUGUAAAGGUAGUGCCAAGAAAAGCGAUGAUCAUGUUGAAAAUCAAUUCCCGGUACCCGAAACCGACACAGGUGGGCAAGUAGAGAAUACUAAGGGGCGCGAGGUAACUCUCUCCAAGGAACUCGGCAAAAUGACCCCGUAACUUAGGGAGAAGGGGUGCCACCGAGAGGUGGUCGCAGUGAAGAGGCCCAGGCGACUGUUUAGCAAAAACAUAGGUCUCUGCAAACUCGAAAGAGGAGGUAUAGGGGCUGACGCCUGCCCAGUGCCGGAAGGUUAAAGAAGUUGGUCAGUUUUAGGAUGAAGCUAGCGACUGAAGCCCCGGUGAACGGCGGCCGUAACUAUAACGGUCCUAAGGUAGCGAAAUUCCUUGUCGGGUAAGUUCCGACCCGCACGAAAGGCGUAACGAUCUGGGCGCUGUCUCGGAGAGAGGCUCGGCGAAAUAGGAUUGUCUGUGAAGAUACGGACUACCUGCAUUUGGACAGAAAGACCCUAUGAAGCUUUACUAUAGCUUGGAAUUGUGUUCGGGCUUCCUGUGCGCAGGAUAGGUGGGAGGCGUAGAAGGUAUUCUUGUGGGGAUACUGGAGCCAACGGUGAGAUACCACUCUCAGGAGGCUAGAAUUCUAACUUAAUUAAGGACAGUUUCAGGUGGGUAGUUUGACUGGGGCGGUCGCCUCCAAAAAGGUAACGGAGGCGUACAAAGGUUCCCUCAGACUGGUUGGAAAUCAGUCGAAGAGUGCAAAGGCAGAAGGUAGCUUGACUGCGAGAAGUACAGUUCGAGCAGGGUGGAAACACGGUCUUAGUGAUCCGACGGUGCUGUGUGGAAGGGCCGUCGCUCAACGGAUAAAAGUUACUCUAGGAUAACAGGCUGAUCUCCCCCAAGAGUUCACAUCGACGGGGAGGUUUGGCACCUCGAUGUCGGCUCAUCGCAACCUGGGGCGGAAGUACGUCCCAAGGGUUGGGCUGUUCGCCCAUUAAAGCGGUACGUGAGCUGGGCUCAGAACGUCGUGAGACAGUUCGGUCCAUAUCCGAUGUAGGCGUGAGAAUAUUGAGAGGAGCCUUCCUUAGUACGAGGGGACCGGGAAGGACGCACCGCUGGUGUACCUGUUAUGAUGCCAAUUGUAAACGCAGGGUAGCCAAGUGCGGAGAGGAUAACCGCUGAAAGCAUCUAAGUGGGAAGCCCACCUCAAGAUGAGUAUUCUGGUGUAAGGUCACGGGAAGACGACCCGUAAAUAGGCACGAGGUGGAAGUGCAGAGAUGUAUGAAGCCGAAGUGUACUAAUAGACCGUCGGCUUGACC
rnacentral:rRNA from 1 species